rnacentral:rRNA from 1 species
GAUGAACGCUAGCGGCAGGCCUAAUACAUGCAAGUCGAACGGUGUCUUCGGACAUAGUGGCGCACGGGUGCGUAACACGUAUGCAACCUACCUUACAUUGGGGGAUAGCCUUUCGAAAGGGAGAUUAAUACCGCAUAAGACAGUAGCUGGGCAUCCAGCAGCUGUUAAAGAUUUAUCGAUGUAAGCUGGGCAUGCGUCCAAUUAGCUAGUUGGUGAGGUAACGGCUCACCAAGGCAAUGAUUGGUAGGGGAACUGAGAGGUCAAUCCCCCACACUGGCACUGAGAUACGGGCCAGACUCCUACGGGAGGCAGCAGUAGGGAAUAUUGGGCAAUGGACGCAAGUCUGACCCAGCCAUGCCGCGUGCAGGAUGAAGGCGUUAUGCGUUGUAAACUGCCUUUAUACAGGAAGAAACGACUCUUGCGAGAGGCAUUGACGGCACUGUAUGAAUAAGCACCGGCUAACUCCGUGCCAGCAGCCGCCGUAAAAC